CGAAUCAACGCUGGCGGCGUGCCUCAGACAUGCAAGUCGAACGCGAAAGUUCCCUUCGGGGGGCAAGUAGAGUGGCGCACGGGUGAGUAACACGUAGGUAAUCUACCUUUGGAUGGGGAAUAACAACCGGAAACGGUUGCUAAUACCGCAUAAUGCAGCGGCACCUAAUGGUGACAGUUGUUAAAGCGGGGGAUCGAAAGACCUCGCGUCUGAAGAGGAGCCUGCGGCGGAUUAGCUAGUUGGUAGGUAACGGCCUACCAAGGCUACGAUCCGUA
rnacentral:rRNA from 1 species